CCUACGGGAGGCAGCAGUAAGGAAUAUUGGACAAUGCUCGCAAGAGUGAUCCAGCCAUGCCGCGUGCAGGAAGAAUGCCCUAUGGGUAGUAAACUGCUUUUGAACUAGAGAAAACCCCAGUACGUGUACUGGGCUGAUAGUAUAGUUAGAAUAAGCAUCGGCUAACUUCGUGCCAGCAGCCGCGGUAAGACGAAGGAUGCAAGCGUUAUCCGGAUUCAUUGGGUUUAAAGGGAGCGUAGGUGGACUGAUAAGUCAGUGGUGAAAUCUCCGAGCUUAACUCGGAAAUUGCCAUUGAUACUGUUGGUCUUGAGUACAGUUGCUGUGGGCGGAAUAUGACAUGUAGUGGUGAAAUACAUAGAGAUGUCAUAGAACACCGAUUGCGAAGGCAGCUCACAAAGCUGUAACUGACACUGAGGCUCGAAAGUGCGGGGAUCAAACAGGAUUAGAUACCCUGGUAGUCCGCACCGUAAACGAUGAUUACUCGCUGCUAGGGGGCAACCUUUAAGUGGCUUAGCGAAAAGCGAUAAGUAAUCCACCUGGGGAGUACGCCGGCAACGGUGAAACGUCAAAAGGAAAUUAGACGGGCGNGAGAGNGCGACGGACGACACGAGGGAGGAGGAG
rnacentral:rRNA from 1 species